GACGAACGCUGGCGGCGUGCCUAAUACAUGCAAGUUGAGCGCUGAAGGUUGGUACUUGUACCAACUGGAUGAGCAGCGAACGGGUGAGUAACGCGUGGGGAAUCUGCCUUUGUGUGGGGGACAACAUUUGGAAACGAAUGCUAAUACCGCAUAAAAACUUUAAACACAAGUUUUAAGUUUGAAAGAUGCAAUUGCGGCGCUCAAGGAUGAUCCCGCGUUGUAUUAGCUUGUUGGUGAGGUAGAGGCUCACAAAGGCGAUGCUGCGUAGCCGGCCUGAGAGGGUGACCGGCCACAUAGGGACUGAGAUACGGCCCAGACUGCUACGGGAGGCAGCAGUGGGGAAUAGUGCGCGAUGGGCGGAAGCCUGAUGCAGCAACGCCGCGUGGGGGAUGACGGCCUUCGGGGUAUAAACCGCUUUCGCCUGUGACGAAGCGUGAGUGACGGUAAUGGGUAAAGAAGCAACGGCUAACUACGUG
rnacentral:rRNA from 1 species